rnacentral:lncRNA from 1 species
GCAGGGGUCAGCCUAACUAAAUUGCAGUUUUGAGCUACAACAGAUCUUGAAAGCACCAACGCCCUAGUUGGGGCUGCCUUUCCUGCUUGUUUGUGCAAGUAAGAAAGUGCUUGAUACUUGGAGCUCUUCCCCACACUCCUGUGGAUCCGCUUCCACUUAUCCCUUCUCCCUUCUGUCCCCUCCUGUUUGGAAGAGACAUCUGCUAUUUUAAUGAAAGCAUGGAACGAAGCACUUGCCGUAAGCCCGGCGGAGCUCGACCAGAUGUUUCACAGUGCAAGAAGCUAGGUAACGGAACAAAGGUUACAAAAGAGACCUGCAGAGGUGAAAGUGAGGCUCCACAGGGCAAGCUCACAAAUUUGGAUAGAACCAAAAUGGAACAAUUGGUGAACUCUGUGAAAAACAAUCUUAGUGAAAUGAAUGAUCAAUUAGAAGAUAUGCUGAAACACCUACAGUUUUUGAAAGAAAGAUUCAGUACAUCUGUGCCCUACAGAGGAGAAAGUGAGGCUCCACAAGGCAAGCUCACAAAUUUGGAUGGAACCAAGAUGGAACAAUUCGUGAACUCUGUGGAAGACAAACUUAGUGAAAUGAAUGAUCAGUUAGAAGAUAUGCUGAAACACCUACAGUUUUUGAAAGAAAGAUUCAGAGGUGAAAGUGAGGCUCCACAGGGCAAGCUCACAAAUUUGGAUAGAACCAAAAUGGAACAAUUGGUGAACUCUGUGAAAAACAAUCUUAGAAGUGAAAUGAGCACUCUAUAUGAAGAUAUGGGGAAAUACCUACAGUUUUUGAAAGAAAGACUCAGGGAGCUUCCCAAAAUGGUCAGCGCAGAAGAGUUUCAUCAGAAGGAAGAAGAAUGUGAAAAGCUGAAGGAACAGAAGAGAGUCUUGGAGCAAAAAUUGGACCUUGUCUUGGCCAAUGCAAUGAGAAGCCAUAAGUUCUCUGAGAACUUGAAUGACCCCUGUCGAUUAUCAGCUGUGUUGGAGAUGUACGACAGGCUCAGGAUACAUGAAUGGGAGAAAGCCAAAUGUGCUGCAAGUGUCUCCACCUUUCCAAUGACGUAUGAAAAAGGUAGCACGAUAAUUAAGGCUGUGUUUUCCAUAUGUGAAGAAGAGCUGUCACAAAGA